rnacentral:miRNA from 1 species
CAUUUUGAUGGCUACCUCCC